AGUGAACGCUGGCGGUAGGCCUAACACAUGCAAGUCGAACGGCAGCACAGUAAGAGCUUGCUCUUACGGGUGGCGAGUGGCGGACGGGUGAGGAAUACAUCGGAAUCUUCUUUUUCGUGGGGGAUAACGUAGGGAAACUUAUGCUAAUACCGCAUAUGAUCUACGGGUGAAAUCAGUGGAUAUUCGGACCUUGCGCGAUUGAAUGAGCCGAUGUCGGAUUAGCUAGUUGGCGGGGUAACGGCACACCAAGGCGACGAUCCGUAGCUGGUCUGAGAGGAUGAUCAGCCACACUGGAACUGAGACACGGUCCAGACUCCUACGGGAGGCAGCAGUGGGGAAUAUUGGACAAUGGGCGCAAGCCUGAUCCAGCCAUGCCGCGUGGGUGAAGAAGGCCUUCGGGUUGUAAAGCCCUUUUGUUGGGAAAGAAAAGCAGCAGGUUAAUACCCCGCUGUUCUGACGGUACCCAAAGAAUAAGCACCGGCUAACUUCGUG
rnacentral:rRNA from 1 species